rnacentral:rRNA from 1 species
GCGGAGGGAUCAUUACCGAGUUAUACAACUCAUCAACCCUGUGAACAUACCUAUAACGUUGCCUCGGCGGGAACAGACGGCCCCGUAACACGGGCCGCCCCCGCCAGAGGACCCCCUAACUCUGUUUCUAUAAUGUUUCUUCUGAGUAAACAAGCAAAUAAAUUAAAACUUUCAACAACGGAUCUCUUGGCUCUGGCAUCGAUGAAGAACGCAGCGAAAUGCGAUAAGUAAUGUGAAUUGCAGAAUUCAGUGAAUCAUCGAAUCUUUGAACGCACAUUGCGCCCGCCAGUAUUCUGGCGGGCAUGCCUGUUCGAGCGUCAUUACAACCCUCAGGCCCCCGGGCCUGGCGUUGGGGAUCGGCGGAAGCCCCCUGCGGGCACAACGCCGUCCCCCAAAUACAGUGGCGGUCCCGCCGCAGCUUCCAUUGCGUAGUAGCUAACACCUCGCAACUGGAGAGCGGCGCGGCCACGCCGUAAAACACCCAACUUCUGAAUGUUGACCUCGAAUCAAUGGUUAGAAUACCCGCUGAACUUAAGCAUAUCAAUAGGCGGGAGGAAA